rnacentral:SRP_RNA from 1 species
CCGUGCUAGAUGGGGAACCAGCGGUGCCCUGUAACCUGCAAUCCGCUACAGCAGGGUUGAAUUCCUUUCCGAGGCCCAAGGCUUCAGGGCCUGACCCAUGAAAGUAACGUUGAUGGAUUGGUCCCACGCAAUGUACGGCUAUGAACCUCGUCAGGACCGGAAGGUAGCAGCGAUAAGUAGUUUGUGCGUGUGCCGUGGUAAACCUGUUCUGAGUUUACUGCUAGGGUAACGCCUGGAACCUUUCUGUCGGAGAAAGGUGCACGG